GAUGAACGCUGGCGGCGUGCCUAAUACAUGCAAGUCGAGCGAACAGACGAGGAGCUUGCUCCUCUGACGUUAGCGGCGGACGGGUGAGUAACACGUGGAUAACCUACCUAUAAGACUGGGAUAACUUCGGGAAACCGGAGCUAAUACCGGAUAAUAUAUUGAACCGCAUGGUUCAAUAGUGAAAGUCGGUUUUGCUGUCACUUAUAGAUGGAUCCGCGCCGCAUUAGCUAGUUGGUAAGGUAACGGCUUACCAAGGCUACGAGGCGUAGCCGACCUGAGAGGGAGAUCGGCCACACUGGAACUGAGACACGGUCCAGACUCCUACGGGAGGCAGCAGUAGGGAAUCUUCCGCAAUGGGCGAAAGCCUGACGGAGCAACGCCGCGUGAGUGAUGAAGGUCUUCGGAUCGUAAAACUCUGUUAUUAGGGAAGAACAAAUGUGUAAGUAACUAUGCACGUCUUGACGGUACCUAAUCAGAAAGCCACGGCUAACUACGUG
rnacentral:rRNA from 1 species